AGGGAGCAGAGAAAAUAUUGUUGUUG
rnacentral:piRNA from 1 species